AGGAUAUUAAUCUUCCUGAAAAGUGUCAAAAAGCAAUUCCUCGUGCAGGUAGGAUGCUUAAAUCCACUACUCAUGUUUACGUUUUGCACUUUCGUGAAGAUAAUAUCGAAACCCAUUAUCAAGUUACAUUACCUGGAGGGGUUUGGAAGCAAGAAAGGGAACGGCCUAGAUUGAAACCUUCUGCAACCCCUUCCAAAUAUCUCUCAUCGAAUAAGAGAAAAAGGAAACCUACUUCAAGAAAUAAAGCUAUAACUGGAAGUGAUGUCGCUUGCAACUGAAAUAUUCCGGCUGGUAAUAGAUUAUUUUUUUGCAAAUAAAAUAUUUUAGUUUUAAUAUUUAUAUGAAACAUUUUUAUAGAUAUAGCUUCAGCUUCCCAGCCACUUGAUUGUGUACCAUUUGACUUUCCGCACUUGAAAGAUAACAGCAGUCGUUUUCUUAGAAAAGGUUGGACAUAUUUUUUUGAGUAAUCAACUGGAUUUCUCUUUUGGAAUGAUGAUAGUCUGGAGAGGUGGUUAAUUGUAAACAAAGACCUUUAUGCUAAAAGGGCAGGAAAAAUAUCUUCUACAAAAAGAAAAAAUUAUGGCUCUCUACUUUCUCAACAGGUAAUUAGUGCUCUGUACUUCACCAUUUGAUUAUAGAGUGUGUUAUGCUACUUGAGAAUACCAACUUUUAUGUCCAUAAUGUCACAACUGAAGGCGCCUCUUGAAAUCGGAGCAUGUGGCACAAAUUUGGCAUCACGAUGGACAAUAGCUGUGAACACAUAUGUGGUCAGACAAGACAGAUGUGGUUCAUGUCAGACUUCCCACACCUUAUAAAAUGUUUUAGAAAUGCUAUAGUUAGAACAUAAAUACAAUGAUGGACCAGUGUCUUUGAAAUUUUGGGAUGCUGUUGUGGAAAGUGACAAAUCAAACCAUUACAACUUGAAGGUUUGUACCAAGCUGACUGCUGACCAUGUUAGGCCCAAGCAUUUUCAAACGAUGAGUGUGGCAAUGGCUUUUCAGUAGCAGUCAGCUUUUAUUCAAAGUUUUCGCUGCACACAUGCUAAAAGUACAGGUAAAUAAGAAACAUCUUCAGGCAGACCUCAUGAGUAAAACAGAUAGGAUAGUUCUACUGAAAAACUUAUCAAAUAUGGCUGUAAAAUAUAAAACUCCUGAUAAGAAACUGUUUGAAAUAGCGAAAUCAUAAAAUAAGUGAAAAAAUAUACAAAAUGCAUGCCUCCAAAAGACGUUUACCAGUACACAUUCAAAGCCUUCGCUGCACACGUGCUAAAAGUGCAGGCAAAUAAGAAACAUCUUCAGGCAGACCUGAUGAGUAAAACAGAUAAGAUAGUUCUACUGAAAGACUUAUCAAAUAUGGCUGCAAAGUAUAAAACUCCAGAUAAGAAACUGUUUGAAAUUGUGAAUAUUUUAGAAACAACUCACAAACGUUCAGUAGAUAUUCUAAAAGGAAUCGCGUUCUGGAAGGACUUUUUAUCCAAGACAAGGAAAUGAUAUGUACCCUGAGAUAUUAUUUUUUGAUGGAACUUACAAGCUGAUUGACCUGGGAUUAACUUGCUACAUAUUUUUGGUAGAAGAUGGUAAUAGUAUGUUGAAAACGUUAUUUUUUUAAACAUUUUUAUUUCAUAAUAAACAUUUAUUAAUUUUAUUUCACAUGCCUAUUUAAAAAAUAUUUUGCCCAUACCUAUUGAGAUAUUUUACAGUUCUUAUUUUCUUGCUUUACAUAUCUAAGCAUUAUAUAAAAUAAAAUACCUUUUGCGUGUGUCACGGCAUGACAAUGAUUAUGACAUAUAUAUAUAUAAUUUUAUGUAAACACCACAUGUGUUUGCCAGUAAUUUUUAGACUUAGGCAGAUUAUGUAUAUGGAGAUAUAGUGGUGGCGCCCCCCUCUUCUGACCGUAUCCUAACAAACCUCGCUUGUGCACAGCUUAAUGCUAUUUCAAUAGGCUUCUUAGUGUGUUCAAGUAUUUUUAUAAAAAAAUAGAUUUCUUUUAGUAGAAAACGGAUUUUUCUGGUAAGAAACAGUUCAUAUUAUUAAAUUAAGAAGGUGUGAGUCUGAAAAAAUUAGUUAAUAUUAAUAGAAACGUUUUUAUUUAAUGCUGAUUGCUAAGCCUUGUGAUUUAAGUUUUGUUUACAUUUCGACAGGUUCAUAUGUAUAUACAAACAUAUUAUAUUUGUCAUUUUUGUUAAACAUGGCGUGGAAAGCAGUUACAACUUU